CCAAGCUUGGGCAGGAAGAGGGAAGGAAAGAGAAACUUUACGCCAAUCCCCCCCCUCCUCUGCUAACUUCCCCUCCCACCCUCGGGCCCUAACUAGCCCCGGGGACGCCUCCUCCCCACCAACGCAUCCAUCCCCAGAGGAACAAGCGAGGAUCUCAGAGCGCGACCUGGACAGGCUCUCACAAAAGUCACCGCGUUUGUGUAGGUAACUAAGGCCUACCGAAACCAGUCAGCCCUAAGUGCACACAGGAGAACCAUGGAGUUGGAGGAAAAGGAUGAUCUGCAAGUAUCCUGCAAAUAUCUCACCCAGUUAUUGCUGGGAUUCCCCAGGAACAUUACAUGGGAACAUAUCGCCAUAUAGGCUCAAUGGGUGCAGCAAGAAAUAAAAGAUGAGAAUUAUUAGGAUAUGUGGGAUGCUCUGGAAGCAUUCUAGCUGACGUAAUAGACAUUUGCGGAAAAGUCUUGGGGAUCCUGAAUUCAUUAAACAGCUUCUUCUUUUGCCCUGGUUCCUCAUGUUUUCUAGCAGCAAAAUUACUCUGUCCCCUUGGUGCCUUGGAAUGCUCCCAGCCUAAGCUCAGCCCACAUCCAGACAGGCCAAUGCUUUGGUAGCAAGCUGACCACACAAACUCUUGUAAACCGUGAUAAAGUUCCUAGAUAUUUUGGCUAUUUUAGCUUUUUAUUAUUGAAGAAAUACAUUAAUUUUCUUUUUUAAAUCCAGGGUGGUGUCUGUCACUUCCA
rnacentral:lncRNA from 1 species